rnacentral:rRNA from 1 species
CGUAGGGGGCAAGCGUUGUCCGGAUUUAUUGGGCGUAAAGCGCUCGCAGGUGGUCCGUCGCGUCGUGCGUGAAAGACCCCGGCUCAACUGGGGAGGGUCGCGCGAUACGGGCGGACUGGAGGCCAGUAGGGGGAUGCGGAAUUCCGGGUGUAGUGGUGGAAUGCGUAGAGAUCCGGAGGAACACCAGCGGCGAAGGCGGCAUCCUGGACUGGUCCUGACACUCAGGAGCGAAAGCGUGGGGAGCGAUCCGGAUUAGAUACCCGGGUAGUCCACGCUGUAAACGAUGAGUACUAGGUGCCGGGGGUAUCGACCCCCUCGGUGCCGCAGCUAACGCGAUAAGUACUCCGCCUGGGGACUACGGCCGCAAGGCUA